rnacentral:rRNA from 1 species
GGGGGCAACCCUGGCGGCGAGCGGCGAACGGGUGAGUAACGCAUCGGAACGUAUCCUGGAGUGGGGGAUAACCCAGCGGAAGUUGGGCUAAUACCGCAUGAGCUCUGAGGAGGAAAGCGGGGGACUCGCAAGGGCCUCGCGCUGCAGGAGCGGCCGAUGUCCGAUUAGCUAGUUGGUGGGGUAAAGGCUCACCAAGGCGACGAUCGGUAGCUGGUCUGAGAGGAUGAUCAGCCACACUGGGACUGAGACACGGCCCAGACUCCUACGGGAGGCAGCAGUGGGGAAUUUUGGACAAUGGGGGCAACCCUGAUCCAGCCAUGCCGCGUGAGUGAAGAAGGCCUUCGGGUUGUAAAGCUCUUUCGGACGGAACGAAAUGGUUACGGUCAACACCCGUGACUGAUGACGGUACCGUAAGAAGAAGCACCGGCUAACUACGUGCCAGCAGCCGUGGUAAUACGUAGGGUGCGAGCGUUAAUCGGAAUUACUGGGCGUAAAGCGUGCGCAGGCGGUUUCGUAAGCUGGAGGUGAAAUCCCCGGGCUCAACCUGGGAAUGGCCUUCAGGACUGCGAGGCUAGAGUGCGGCAGAGGGAGGUGGAAUUCCACGUGUAGCAGUGAAAUGCGUAGAUAUGUGGAGGAACACCGAUGGCGAAGGCAGCCUCCUGGGCCAGCACUGACGCUCAUGCACGAAAGCGUGGGGAGCAACAGGAUUAGAUACCCUGGUAGUCCACGCCCUAAACGAUGUCAACUAGGUGUUGGGGAAGGUGACUUCCUUAGUACCGCAGCUAACGCGUGAAGUUGACCGCCUGGGGAGUACGGCCGCAAGGUUAAAACUCAAAGGAAUUGACGGGGACCCGCACAAGCGGUGGAUGAUGUGGAUUAAUUCGAUGACAACGCGAAAAACCUUACCUACCCUUGACAUGCCAGGAACUCUGCUGAGAGGUGGAGGUGCCCGAAAGGGAGCCUGGACACAGGUGCUGCAUGGCUGUCGUCAGCUCGUGUCGUGAGAUGUUGGGUUAAGUCCCGCAACGAGCGCAACCCUUGUCGUUAAUUGCCAUCAUUUAGUUGGGCACUUUAGCGAGACUGCCGGUGACAAACCGGAGGAAGGUGGGGAUGACGUCAAGUCCUCAUGGCCCUUAUGGGUAGGGCUUCACACGUCAUACAAUGGCGCAUACAGAGGGUUGCGAAGCCGCGAGGUGAAGCCAAUCCCAGAAAGUGCGUCGUAGUCCGGAUUGCAGUCUGCAACUCGACUGCAUGAAGUCGGAAUCGCUAGUAAUCGCGGAUCAGCAUGUCGCGGUGAAUACGUUCCCGGGUCUUGUACACACCGCCCGUCACACCAUGGGAGUGGGUUCCACCAGAAGCAGGUAGCCUAACCGCAAGGGGGGCGCCUACCACGGUGAGAUUCAUGACUGGGGUGAAGUCGGAACAAGGUA